GGGAUCUUGCUGGAGAUCCCUGCGUACCUGAGGCCUUCUGAAGCGUUACCAACAGGAAGCCUCUAUGGUUUUGUAACGCUUAUUCUACUGAGAACAAUCUCUCUGGAUAAUACCAAGAUGGGUCUUUAAAAUAAAACAAGUAUUUCAUGACCACAAAACCAGGCAGAUGCCAGUGAUGCUGAAACAGGGACAGAAAAAGAUUCAGGCCCAAGAACUGAACUGUGUUAGUGACUUGGCACAUCCUCAUGUUUCUGUCCUGCUGUGCUGAGGGCAGACAGUCUGCUGGUGGUCCAAAUAGCCAUGAGAAUUUUUUUUUUUAUCAGUAAAUGCUCUUCUGAAGGCUGUUAGAAAGGAACCUGCAUGCCUGCUUCAUGGAUUCAUCUGCAAAGCCAAUCAAGAACCCAUUGACACCAGAGCUAGCAAGCCCUGCAUCACACCUAAUUACAUAGUGCUGAAAGAACAACUAACCACUUGGCAAGCAGGGCUUCUGGGUCUCAGAUUCUGAAACAGUUUAUAACUCAGGCAGGGCUUUGGUCUGCACUCAUCCAUCCUUGGCUUUUUUGAAAUGCAACCAGGUGAGAAUGAAUUUGGCAAGUCACUAAACAGCCUCACUUGCACUACUUCCAGUAACUUGCUCACAUAUCCCUACCGGAGUGAGUAUAAAAUGCUGCUGCUUGGUUUCUAUCAGUGGGAUUUCUGCGUAGUAUCUUAUGGGUGUGAGCUAGUCAGCUGUCAGCAGUAUUUAGAAGGCAGUUCACUGGUAACAUGAAGUUGUGACAACUAACAGAAAUGGGCUAGAAUAAACCACGCUAACGAUUAUCUAGCUGUAUUUAUAAAACAAGACCUAACAAGUAUGGUUUGAGUUGAGCAAGGAUGGGCUUGCUUUAGGAACCUGACAUACGCUGCAGUAAGUGGGUCACGGAACAGGUCACUUUUUCUGAACGCCAGUGAAAACACGACUUCAAGCCUCCUGUCCCAGAAUCUGUAAUUAGCACUGGCAAUAAGAUCCUCCUGAAGACAGCCCUGCUGCAGUGUCACUAGGAGACAGUCCAGCCCUCUCUUACUCUUAAUUACGGGUGCUGUCAGUUCAGCUAGAUUAAAAAAGAUGACUGAAGCCGCUUGUGACAAUGGACUUCUGCAUCCAGUAGCUCACAGAGCCACCGUGCACUGAUUUGUUCACUUGGCUGUGUCCUUAUUUCAAGGAAAAAAAAGUACAAUUUUUUUUUUUUUGCAAAACAUCGCGCUUGCAAGCAAUAGCAAGUUUGUGAAAUAUUGCUAGAACAACUUGUACCGCGCCAUCUGCUGCAUGCGGGGAACUGAGAAACCACAGAUCUGCCUGGGCUCUGAGGUUUGAUUUUUUUAAGCUCGUUCUGCUCACUGUGUUUGGGAGUCACUUCAUUUCAGCCUUCCCUUCAGACUGUGUUCCUGGGUAUGUGAAAAGUACCUGAGAAAUAGACCUAAUACAUGUCAGGAAUUCAAA